rnacentral:rRNA from 1 species
CGCUGUCACUCCUACGGGAGGCAGCAGUGGGGAAUAUUGCACAAUGGGCGCAAGCCUGAUGCAGCCAUGCCGCGUGUGUGAAGAAGGCCUUCGGGUUGUAAAGCACUUUCAGUCGUGAGGAAGGUAGUGUAGUUAAUAGCUGCAUUAUUUGACGUUAGCGACAGAAGAAGCACCGGCUAACUCCGUGCCAGCAGCCGCGGUAAUACGGAGGGUGCGAGCGUUAAUCGGAAUUACUGGGCGUAAAGCGCAUGCAGGCGGCCUGUUAAGUCAGAUGUGAAAGCCCGGGGCUUAACCUCGGAAUUGCAUUUGAAACUGGCAGGCUAGAGUCUUGUAGAGGGGGUAGAAUUUCAGGUGUAGCGGUGAAAAUGCGUAGAGAUCUGAAGGAAUACCAGUGGCGAAGGCGGCCCCCUGGACAAAGACUGACGCUCAGAUGCGAAAAGCGUGGGGAGCAAACAGGAUUAGAUACCCUGGUAG